rnacentral:snoRNA from 1 species
AAUCCCUGUUCUUACUGUUUCCCAGAUCAUCAAAUCUGGUGUAAUUAUAUGCGCCAGGGUAUAUUGUGAAAUUGGUUGUUAGGAUUCCAGGCAUUGACUUUAUGUAAAUGGCGAUAUCCUGAGAACCAUACAUUUUU